rnacentral:rRNA from 1 species
AGAACGAACGCUGGCGGCAUGCCUAACACAUGCAAGUCGAACGAGACCUUCGGGUCUAGUGGCGCACGGGUGCGUAACGCGUGGGAAUCUGCCCUUGGGUUCGGGAUAACAGUUGGAAACGACUGCUAAUACCGGAUGAUGUCUUCGGACCAAAGAUUUAUCGCCCAGGGAUGAGCCCGCGUAAGAUUAGCUAGUUGGUGGGGUAAAAGCCUACCAAGGCGACGAUCUUUAGCUGGUCUGAGAGGAUGAUCAGCCACACUGGGACUGAGACACGGCCCAGACUCCUACGGGAGGCAGCAGUGGGGAAUAUUGGACAAUGGGCGAAAGCCUGAUCCAGCAAUGCCGCGUGAGUGAUGAAGGCCUUAGGGUUGUAAAGCUCUUUUACCCGGGAUGAUAAUGACAGUACCGGAGAAUAAGCCCGGCUAACUCCGCGCCAGCAGCCGC